CCUACGGGAGGCUGCAGUGGGGAAUAUUGGACAAUGGGGGGAACCCUGAUCCAGCCAUGCCGCGUGUGUGAAGAAGGCCCUCGGGUUGUAAAGCACUUUCAGUGAGGAAGAACGCCUGGUGGUUAAUACCCAUCAGGAAAGACAUCACUCACAGAAGAAGCACCGGCUAACUCCGUGCCAGCAGCCGCGGUAAUACGGAGGGUGCGAGCGUUAAUCGGAAUUACUGGGCGUAAAGCGCGCGUAGGUGGCUUGAUAAGCCGGUUGUGAAAGCCCCGGGCUCAACCUGGGAACGGCAUCCGGAACAGUCAAGCUAGAGUGCAGGAGAGGAAGGUAGAAUUCCCGGUGUAGCGGUGAAAUGCGUAGAGAUCGGGAGGAAUACCAGUGGCGAAGGCGGCCUUCUGGACUGACACUGACACUGAGGUGCGAAAGCGUGGGUAGCAAACAGGAUUAGAUACCCGGGUAGUC
rnacentral:rRNA from 1 species